UUGUUAAAAUUUUAUUUAUUUGUAUUGUUAAAAACUGACGUGACUGAUUAAAUAACCAGAUAGUGACUUGUCGUAUGUCAUGUAUACCUCAUGCUGACAUACGAUGACCAAUUUUUAGUUGUAGAAAUGGAUAAAUUUCUUAGAA
rfam:Gossypium raimondii Chr01_contig_1066, whole genome shotgun sequence.